UUACAUUUGAGUGAGUGGCGAACUGGUGAGUAACACGUGGGAAACCUGCCCAGAAGCGGGGGAUAACACCUGGAAACAGAUGCUAAUACCGCAUAACAACUUGGACCGCAUGGUCCGAGUUUGAAAGAUGGCUUCGGCUAUCACUUUUGGAUGGUCCCGCGGCGUAUUAGCUAGAUGGUGGGUAACGGCUCACCAUGGCAAUGAUACGUAGCCGACCUGAGAGGGUAAUCGGCCACAUUGGGACUGAGACACGGCCCAAACUCCUACGGGAGGCAGCAGUAGGGAAUCUUCCACAAUGGACGAAAGUCUGAUGGAGCAACGCCGCGUGAGUGAAGAAGGGUUUCGGCUCGUAAAACUCUGUUGUUAAAGAAGAACAUAUCUGAGAGUAACUGUUCAGGUAUUGACGGUAUUUAACCAGAAAGCCACGG
rnacentral:rRNA from 1 species